UGCGUACCUUUUGUAUAAUGGGUCAGCGACUUAUAUUCUGUAGCAAGGUUAACCGAAUAGGGGAGCCGGAGGGAAACCGAGUCUUAAUUGGGCGUUAAGUUGCAGGGUAUAGACCCGAAACCCGGUGAUCUAGCCAUGGGCAGGUUGAAGGUUGGGUAACACUAACUGGAGGACCGAACCGACUAAUGUUGAAAAAUUAGCGGAUGACCUGUGGCUGGGGGUGAAAGGCCAAUCAAACCGGGAGAUAGCUGGUUCUCCCCGAAAGCUAUUUAGGUAGCGCCUCGUGAAUUCAUCUCCGGGGGUAGAGCACUGUUUCGGCUAGGGGGCCAUCCCGGCUUACCAACCCGAUGCAAACUGCGAAUACCGGAGAAUGUUAUCACGGGAGACACACGGCGGGUGCUAACGUCCGUCGUGAAGAGGGAAACAACCCAGACCGCCAGCUAAGGUCCCAAAGUCAUGGUUAAGUGGGAAACGAUGUGGGAAGGCCCAGACAGCCAGGAUGUUGGCUUAGAAGCAGCCAUCAUUUAAAGAAAGCGUAAUAGCUCACUGGUCGAGUCGGCCUGCGCGGAAGAUGUAACGGGGCUAAACCAU
rnacentral:rRNA from 2 species